rnacentral:rRNA from 1 species
AUGGAUAUCUCUGUUUCGGCACCAAUGGUGGAGAAGGUCUCCUGGUACUGCCGAUAUACCGGCGGGUAUGUUGCCUUUGGUCAUUGGCGGCUCAAGCAGCUGAGGCUGCAGACGGCAGAGAGACAACAAGGACAACCCCCUUCGCUCAACAUUCAUGCGUGCCUUCUCCUGCUCAAUUUAAUGCAAGCUACGACUAAAGUAAAUUUUUUGAAUGUUAUAUAUCCUGCCAAAUUGUUUUUUCAGCAUUCCCGUAAUUUACAAGGAGCAGUCAAGUUUACGCGGGAGAUAGAGAAGCAUAUGGUUGUUGCCUUCUCUGUUUUGGAGUUACAUCUCAAAACAAGCGGGCAUGUUUAUGGAGCAUUGGUUUUUUAUCUCUUUGGGAUGGACCGAAUUCGUAAUGAUGUGCAGAGGCUUAAAAUCUUCCUACAGAGAUCAACGGGGGAAGAUCGAUACCCACCAUAUUGUCCUUGUGAGCCCACAAACCGGAGAUCUCAGACUAUCUUCUUGACUGCUCUCGAAGAAGUGGAGAUUUAUGGAUUCGAAGGACGCAAACACGAGAUUAAUUUCUUAAAACUGAUAUUUGAAUGUGCCCCAAUGCUUACAAGAAUGAUUGUGAAGCUGACACAUGAGGCCUCUGCAUCUGCAAGUACAAUGGAUGCACAAAAAUAUACAACAUCUUCGGGGCCUAUCCUUCUGUGGAAUCAUGUGUUUUAUAUUAUUAACCCCGAUGAGUAUAUGUUCUAG